CCUCGCUGUGCAGUCCCUAUGGGCCUCGCUGUGCAGUCCCUAUGGGCCUCGCUGUGCAGUCCCUAAGGGCCUCGCUGUGCAGUCCCUAAGGGCCUCGCUGUGCAGUCCCUAAGGGCCUCGCUGUGCAGUCCCUAAGGGCCUCGCUGUGCAGUCCCAGUCCGGUCGUGAUACAGCCAGGAUUCUAACCAGGGCGCCUGUAGUGACACCUAAAGCACUGAGAUGCAGUGCCUUAGACCGCUGCAUCACUCAGGAGCCCCAGAUCAGACAUCUACCGGCCCUCGAGGUCAGACAUCUACCGGCCCUCGAGGUCAGACAUCUACCGGCCCUCGAGGUCAGACAUCUACCGGCCCUCGAGGUCAGACAUCUACCGGCCCUCGAGGUCAGACAUCUACCGGCC
ensembl:lncRNA